GAUGAACGCUGGCGGCGUGCUUAACACAUGCAAGUCGAACGAUGAGGCGAGUUGCUUUUUGCUGGGAGGGGAUGGGUGGAGAACGGGUGAGUACGUGGAUAAUCUCCUUAUAACAUCUUCUGGACUACGGGAAAACGGAGUGGAUACUACGGAAUAUUUUGAGUCUGAUGCAUGAUUGGUGAGAGACGGUUUUUGUUUCGGUUGGGGAUGGGCCCGCGGCGUAUUAGCUAGUUGGUAAGGUGACGGCUUACCAAGGCGGCGAUGCGUAGCCGGCCUGAGAGGGUGAUCGGCCACAAUAGAACUGAGACGCGGUCCAGACGCCUACGGGAGGAAGCAGUAGGGAAUCUUCCGCAAUGGGCGAAAGCCUGACGGAGCAACGCCGCGUGAGUGAUGAUGGUCUUCGGAUCGUAAAACUCUGUUAUUAGGGAAGAACAAAUGUGUAAGUAACUAUGCACGUCUUGACGGUACCUAAUCAGAAAGCCACGGCUAACUACGUG
rnacentral:rRNA from 1 species